rnacentral:rRNA from 1 species
UACGUAGGGUGCGAGCGUUGUCCGGAAUUAUUGGGCGUAAAGGGCUCGUAGGCGGUUUGUCGCGUCGGGAGUGAAAACAUCUGGCUUAACUGGGUGCUUGCUUUCGAUACGGGCAGACUAGAGGUAUGCAGGGGAGAACGGAAUUCCUGGUGUAGCGGUGAAAUGCGUAGAGAUCCGGAGGAACCCCAGAGGCGAAGGCGGCGUCCUGGCUCGCAUCUGACGCUCAGACACGACAGCAUGGGGAGCGAACGGG